rnacentral:rRNA from 1 species
GCUCAGAACGAACGCUGGCGGCAUGCCUAACACAUGCAAGUCGAACGAGAUCUUCGGAUCUAGUGGCGCACGGGUGCGUAACACGUGGGAAUCUGCCCUUUGGUUCGGAAUAACUCAGGGAAACUUGAGCUAAUACCGGAUGAUGACGUAAGUCCAAAGAUUUAUCGCCAAAGGAUGAGCCCGCGUAGGAUUAGCUAGUUGGUAGGGUAAAGGCCUACCAAGGCGACGAUCCUUAGCUGGUCUGAGAGGAUGAUCAGCCACACUGGGACUGAGACACGGCCCAGACUCCUACGGGAGGCAGCAGUGGGGAAUAUUGGACAAUGGGGGAAACCCUGAUCCAGCAAUGCCGCGUGAGCGAUGAAGGCCUUAGGGUUGUAAAGCUCUUUUACCCGGGAUGAUAAUGACAGUACCGGGAGAAUAAGCCCCGGCUAACUCCGUGCCAGCAGCCGCGGUAAUACGGAGGGGGCUAGCGUUGUUCGGAAUUACUGGGCGUAAAGCGCACGUAGGCGGCUAUUCAAGUCAGGGGUGAAAGCCCGGGGCUCAACCCCGGAAUUGCCCUUGAAACUAGAUAGCUAGAAUCAUGGAGAGGUGAGUGGAAUUCCGAGUGUAGAGGUGAAAUUCGUAGAUAUUCGGAAGAACACCAGUGGCGAAGGCGGCUCACUGGAC